GCAAGUCGAACGCGAAAGUCCUUCGGGGCGAGUAGAGUGGCGGACGGGUGAGUAACGCGUGGGAAUCUACCCUGUAGUGGGGGACAACCCGGGGAAACUCGGGCUAAUACCGCAUACGUCCCAGGGGAGAAAGAGGGCCUCUGCUUGCAAGCUCUCGCUAUGGGAUGAGCCCGCGUCAGAUUAGCUUGUUGGUAGGGUAAUGGCCUACCAAGGCGACGAUCUGUAGCUGGUCUGAGAGGACGAAC
rnacentral:rRNA from 1 species